UAGGCCUCAAGUGAUG
rnacentral:rRNA from 1 species